UUAUGGCUGGAUAUCGCAAGAACUCCUUUUCUCUGUAGGAUUUUUUUUAGCGUAAGCGCUAUGAGCGCCUUCAGAAAAAUGGUCAUGCACCCCGCACGGAGUCAUUUGAUGUGUUACUCACUAAUAAUCCCGGAGAAGGCUGUAUGGAGAGCGUGAAUGCCAAUUUUAAGAACAUGAGUGCUGUACCUAUGUAGUCUAUAUUUUUAUAAUGGGAUCUGAUUUGUUUUGUUUUUCUUGUUGAUUUCUUCUUUACAUCUGUACCAAUAGAAUUCAUGCUAACUUCGAAGCAAAGACAAAUCGUAAUAUUUGCUGUAUUUUUUCUAUUCUAAUAGAAUCACGCAAAUAUAAUAGAGCAUCAGCCAUGCAGAAUGAAGAAAAUGUAUAUUAAUUUGAGAGUAGAUACGAAAAAUAUUACGAAACUAACAAUAAGAAAGAAAUAGAACUCUGAAAGAGAAGAAAUAUAAGAAGAAAGAAGAAAUAUAACUCUGGGGCACUAAAGAGAAUGGGCUUUGACCCAAGGACAAAAUAAGUUUAAUCCAGGUGAUAUCCGCCAGAUUAAAAGUCUCUGAGGUAAUCAAAUUCAGUUACGCGAUUAGAAUACACGUAUAAUGCAAAUAUCAGAUGAUCAUAAUAUUACACUCACAGUCGUCUGAAUCUGAACGACCGAUUGCAAAGAACGAUAUCACACAAGUUGACGGAGCUACAUUGAAUUUUACACAUGAGUGCACCGCGAGAAAUCAUAGAGGUCAGUUGUACGACACAGGUAGACGAGCACUAGUAUCGGGACAGAACUGAAAAAGCUUACGUUCUUGAGUGGAUCAAAUUCAAUUCAAUCGAUGAUCGACGUGAUUUUUAAUGGAGAGUCAACCUAUAACAUGAAAUCACGCCUCCAACAAUUUUCAUUUUAGAGCCAAGAGCAAUCUGCGCGGAACGUGAGAUAACGCAGAAAUGAAGAAAAAAAGACAACAGAAACAGAGAUCAUGACGGCGACGUCACAGUCAAAAGUCUAAUAAUCAUUGACAUGAGCUUUGCUGCGUUGCCGAAUUUCUCAAUGGAGGCGAAAUAUAUUAAUCAUGAACGCUUUGAAUAAUUCAAUGUAAGUGCAGAAAUCACGAUUGAGCUUGGCGAUGACUCAACUACAAAUUGAAGAGGUUACGUACCAAAUCCGGUAGAAAUGUGAAUUUGUUGAAGUUUUUCCGACGAGUGAAUAGUAAGUAGGAACUUUAGAACGGUGCACGUUUGCAAAAAGACCCACCCAGAGAAAUGUAAUUGAUAGAACUGUCUUCGACUGAUAACGCUCGUGCUCGAUAGCUUUGAUUUUACGGAAUUUGCCUCCUAAUCCACUAGAUAAACUUCUAAAUAGGCCUUUGGCAUGGCGACAGUAAACUGGCGGUGAAACUAGGGAACCCUGUUUUGUUGGUUUGUAGGUUGCAAAUUUCCUAUUAAACAUUGCGUUUAACUGUUUUACAUCAUUGAAUUUGUCAUGUUAUUUUUUAUAAUAGUUACUGCAAUUUUUCCCCCAAAAAUAUCAUGUGAACAUUUUGAAUAGUUAACUUUUGAAAGUAAAGUAGGGUGAGAGGGUGUGUGUGUUUUUUUUUGUUU
rnacentral:lncRNA from 1 species